rnacentral:rRNA from 1 species
AGAGUUUGAUUCUGGCUCAGGACGAACGCUGGCGGCGCGCCUAACACAUGCAAGUCGAACGGAGCGUUGCGAGAAGAGCCCUUCGGGGUGAUUCAUGCAAUUGCUUAGUGGCGAACGGGUGAGUAACACGUGAGUAACCUGCCCUUGAGUGGGGGACAACAUUUGGAAACAGAUGCUAAUACCGCAUAAGACCACGGAGCCGCAUGGCUCUGAGGCCAAAGGAUUUAUUCGCUUAAGGAUGGACUCGCGUCUGAUUAGCUAGAUGGUGAGGUAACGGCCCACCAUGGCAACGAUCAGUAGCCGGACUGAGAGGUUGAACGGCCACAUUGGGACUGAGACACGGCCCAG